AUACGGAGGGCGCAAGCGUUGCCGGGAAUCACUGGGUGUAAAGGGUGCGUAGGCGGGGCUGUAAGUCAGAGGUGAAAGCCCUCGGCUCAACCGGGGAAUUGCCUCUGAUACUGCAGCUCUUGAGUCCCGGAGAGGCCGCUGGAAUUCCUGGUGUAGCGGUGAAAUGCGUAGAUAUCAGGAGGAACACCGGAGGCGAAGGCGGGCGGCUGGACGGGGACUGACGCUGAGGCACGAAAGCGUGGGGAGCAAACAGGAUUAGAAACCCUAGUAGUCC
rnacentral:rRNA from 1 species